rnacentral:rRNA from 1 species
AACGAACGCUGGCGGCAGGCCUAACACAUGCAAGUCGAGCGAGGACUUCGGUCCUAGCGGCGGACGGGUGAGUAACGCGUGGGAACGUGCCCCUUGGUACGGAAUAGCCCCGGGAAACUGGGAGUAAUACCGUAUGAGCUCUACCGAGGAAAGAUUUAUCGCCAAGGGAUCGGCCCGCGUUGGAUUUGGUAGUUGGUGGGGUAAUGGCCUACCAAGCCGACGAUCCAUAGCUGGUUUGAGAGGAUGAUCCGCCACACUGGGACUGAGACACGGCCCAGACUCCUACGGGAGGCAGCAGUGGGGAAUCUUAGACAAUGGGCGCAAGCCUGAUCUAGCCAUGCCGCGUGAGCGAUGAAGGCCUUAGGGUUGUAAAGCUCUUUCAGCUGGGAAGAUAAUGACUGUACCAGCAGAAGAAGCCCCGGCUAACUCCGUGCCAGCCGCCGCGGUAACAC